AGAAGGUGGAGUCAAAGAGACGCCAUGUAGCUACAACCAGGGACAGAUGCACUGGAACCUUGCUGGUAAACCCUGAGCCUCAUGGUCUGUGAAGAAUUUUGCUGGGAUUUUGAUGGACAUUGUAUUGAAUCAGUAGACUGCUUUUGGACUGCUUCGGCCUCCUUCUUCUCUAUUGACAUUAAUGGUUGAAUCCCUGGAAUGAUUUGGAAGGGACUCCCUGACUCAGAGGUCAAGCCAUUUGCUUACCCAUCUAAUCAGAACAGUCCAUAAUUUGGGAGGAACACAUCCACAAAGCCUUUUCACUAAUUAGCCCGACACUCGUGGAUCUCUGAAGCCUCGCAGACAAUGAGGAGGAAACAGCAGUGAUGAAGCCUCUCAAAUCAGUCUUCCAUGAUUAGGAAAUGAGAUAAGGGCGGGAAGCUUUUAACAAAGCUGACAGCCAUCUUGCAAACACUGGAGGCAGCUUUCUGUAAUCUGAGAGGACUCCAGAUGCAGGAGAAAAACAAACAUUAA